UACCAUAUUAUUAUAAUAUUAUUUAGUAGUAAAAUAGCCAAAUCGAGGGAGUCAACAUGAUUGUCAAAGGAACAACAUGUCAGUUAGGGCCAGUGGGCCACACUGAAAGUGACGUAAGAAAUCGAAAAAUACAAAAUUUGUGCCCCCUUCUCCCCUAGGCUCAGUGCGGUGGCACGGCCUGCACUACCCUAGGGCGGGGCUUUCUUAGACCCUUAGCCACUCAAAUAUGAAUUAUGUCAUCAAAUGUGUUUCUGACUUAUGUAAAUCAAAAAGUCGAUCAACGUCUUAGUAGGUAUUGUUAAAGAUCAUGAAAAUCGAGACAUCGGUCUUUAGUCAUAAAACACAUUACUACACAUCACUUUUGUUUGAGGGUAAAUUUACACCCCUUAAAUUUGUAGCGUGUUGAACCAAUUAUGUGGUUCGUCGUGGAUAUGAUCGAGUAUCUUUAGAGAUAUUCGGUAUCGAGACUAUAUCAAGCCUACCUCGGUGUAAAUCCUGGUUAUUAUCGAAAUAUCAUAAAUCCGGUAAUUAAUGGAGGAUUGUUUGGUUACCAUGAUUGAGCUAUUCAUGGAAAAUCUUACAUAAAAGGAGGAAUCUCGACGUAAGAAGUAAGUUGAGUUACCUUGGCAAUUCAGGUGUGAAGUCUAUAAAGAAGGUUGGUCAACCUUGGUCUUAAACGUGCAUGACAUGGUACCCGAGUGUUUGAUUAUAUAAGGAUUACCAUCCUUAAUUAAAUUGCAUAAGGAGAUUACACUCCUUAACGACAUUUGAAUGCAUGAGGUAGUGCAUGACGUCCAGAAGCAUGCAAGGGUGGGGUACAAUUACAUUGCCUUAAGGAUUCAUUCCUUAUAUGGAUUAUACACUUAUUACAUGAGGUAUGCAUCGAAACUGAAAUUGCAGUAAGGUACAUGAUUAAGCGGUUCCUUCCUAAAUAUCUGAAUCGUUGAGGAGUGUGUGUUUUGUUGUACGUCAUACCAUGAUAUACAGGUUGUUCAGUGAUGAUGCGUAAUUAUAUAUAUGGACGAGGCACCAGUACCAUAUUUCUUGGCAUACCGCAUGUGUCAUAAAUCAGUGGAGACUUGCAAACAUUGAAUAAACGCAUGC
rnacentral:lncRNA from 1 species